GCAUUCACAUUGAAGUCUGUAAGCAACACCUGAUAGACAUAUAGAGCUAGAUAAUAGCAUAAAUUACAAGUGAAAAGAACAACACGUCAAACUGACCACAAUAUGGAAAAUGUUAUGCGUUCGUAAAUAACAAGAUCCCAUACUGCUCAUAAGUAUUGCAAAAAGAAAAGUGCAAAAGUAUUAUACAUUUGGCUAUUGAACGGUUUCCAGCAACAGAGACCCUUGAAUACGUGAUCAUUAAAUUCACACCAAAGUUGUCAACAAUAAAGACCUUCUACCAGGCAGCGUCAUAUCAUGUAUCAAUGUAAUGAAGAUAGUCAUACAAAUAUUGGCUAGAAAAAGUAAUUUAACAAAACCCCAAAACAUCCAUCAAACCUCAAAUACAUUCCCCAAUGGAAUCUCCUUAUCCCACGAUUUGGAGGUCUUCAUCUUCAAUCAUUCACCAAAGAAAUGGUAAGCACCAGAGCAUGAGGCAUUAAAUGGAGUACACAGUCAGCGGUAUUUCUUAAGGAAAACAACUAUUUCCACAGGGGGCAAAUAAGACUUGAGCAUUUUAUCAUACAGCACGAAUAGGUUUUCUUUAGGUCCCACAUUACCCAUCAAUCUUAGAUUCUUUGCAAUCAGGCCUAGAAUGGAGUAAACAUUUUACAGCGUUUAUCCA